GCUCGAAUGGCGGAAUAGGUAGACGCAAGGGAUUUAAAAUCCCUCGGUGGCAACACUGUGCCGGUUCAAGUCCGGCUUCGAGCA
rnacentral:tRNA from 1 species